GAUGAACGCUGGCGGCGUGCCUAAUACAUGCAAGUCGAGCGAACAGACGAGGAGCUUGCUCCUUUGACGUUAGCGGCGGACGGGUGAGUAACACGUGGGUAACCUACCUAUAAGACUGGGAUAACUUCGGGAAACCGGAGCUAAUACCGGAUAAUAUUUCGAACUGCAUGGUUCGAUAGUGAAAGAUGGCUUUGCUAUCACUUAUAGAUGGACCUGCGCCGUAUUAGCUAGUUGGUAAGGUAACGGCUUACCAAGGCAACGAUACGUAGCCGACCUGAGAGGUGAUCGGCCACACUGGAACUGAGACACGGUCCAGACUCCUACGGAGGCAGCAGUAGGGAAUCUUCCGCAAUGGGCGAAAGCCUGACGGAGCAACGCCGCGUGAGUGAUGAAGGUCUUCGGAUCGUAAAACUCUGUUAUUAGGGAAGAACAAACGU
rnacentral:rRNA from 1 species